ACGUAAUAGAUACCCUGGUAGUCCACGCCCUAAACGAUGUCUACUAGUUGUUGGUGGAGUAAAAUCCAUGAGUAAACGCAGCUAAACGCGUGAAGUAGACCGCCUGGGGAGUACGGUCGCAAGAUUAAAACUCAAAGGAAUUGACGGGGGCCCGGCACAAGCGGUGGAUUAUGUGGAUUAAAUUCGAUGCAACGCGAAAAACCUUAACCUGGCCUUGACAUGCCACUAACCGAAAGCAGAGAUGCAUUAGGUGCCGUAACGGGAAAGUGGACACAGGUGCUGCAUGGCUGUCGUCAGCUCGUGUCGUGAGAUGUUGGGUUAAGUCCCG
rnacentral:rRNA from 1 species